rnacentral:sRNA from 1 species
AUCACUGAGAGCCUCAACACCAGCCAGUACACAUAUGAAAUCGCCCCCGUGUUUGUGCUCAUGGAAGAGGAGGUGCUGAGGAAACUGCGGGCCCUGGUGGGCUGGAGCUCUGGGGACGGAAUCUUCUGCCCUGGUGGCUCCAUCUCCAACAUGUAUGCUGUAAAUCUGGCCCGCUAUCAGCGCUACCCGGAUUGCAAGCAGAGGGGCCUCCGCACACUGCCGCCCCUGGCCCUAUUCACAUCGAAGGAGGUGGGGAAGAGGCACAGGCCCAACCCUGGGCUCCUGAUUCUAAUCUCCAGCCAGCUAAGUAGAGACCUUCCAGGUCUUCUCCCUGCCCUCCCUACAUCCUCCAAGGCCAGCCUGCCCCCAGGCGGAUGUGCUUCCUUCCAAUCAAGGAGUGUCACUACUCCAUCCAGAAGGGAGCUGCGUUUCUGGGACUUGGCACUGACAGUGUCCGAGUGGUCAAGGCUGAUGAGAGAGGGAAAAUGGUCCCCGAGGAUCUGGAGAGGCAGAUUGGUAUGGCCGAGGCUGAGG